rnacentral:rRNA from 1 species
UACGGGGGGAGCAAGCGUUGUUCGGAUUUACUGGGCGUAAAGGGCGCGUAGGCGGCUUGACAAGUCACUUGUGAAAUCUCCGGGCUUAACUCGGAACGGCCAAGUGAAACUGUCAUGCUAGAGUGCAGAAGGGGCAAUCGGAAUUCUUGGUGUAGCGGUGAAAUGCGUAGAUAUCAAGAGGAACACCUGAGGUGAAGACGGGUUGCUGGGCUGACACUGACGCUGAGGCGCGAAAGCCAGGGAGCAAACGGG